rnacentral:rRNA from 1 species
UUUUCAUCAGACAAUCUGUGUGAGCACUGCAAAGUACGCUUCUUUAAGGUAAGGAGGUGAUCCAACCGCAGGUUCCCCUACGGUUACCUUGUUACGACUUCACCCCAGUCAUGAAUCACAAAGUGGUAAGCGCCCUCCCGAAGGUUAAGCUACCUACUUCUUUUGCAACCCACUCCCAUGGUGUGACGGGCGGUGUGUACAAGGCCCGGGAACGUAUUCACCGUGGCAUUCUGAUCCACGAUUACUAGCGAUUCCGACUUCAUGGAGUCGAGUUGCAGACUCCAAUCCGGACUACGACGCACUUUAUGAGGUCCGCUUGCUCUCGCGAGGUCGCUUCUCUUUGUAUGCGCCAUUGUAGCACGUGUGUAGCCCUGGUCGUAAGGGCCAUGAUGACUUGACGUCAUCCCCACCUUCCUCCAGUUUAUCACUGGCAGUCUCCUUUGAGUUCCCGGCCGGACCGCUGGCAACAAAGGAUAAGGGUUGCGCUCGUUGCGGGACUUAACCCAACAUUUCACAACACGAGCUGACGACAGCCAUGCAGCACCUGUCUCACGGUUCCCGAAGGCACAUUCUCAUCUCUGAAAACUUCCGUGGAUGUCAAGACCAGGUAAGGUUCUUCGCGUUGCAUCGAAUUAAACCACAUGCUCCACCGCUUGUGCGGGCCCCCGUCAAUUCAUUUGAGUUUUAACCUUGCGGCCGUACUCCCCAGGCGGUCUACUUAACGCGUUAGCUCCGGAAGCCACGCCUCAAGGGCACAACCUCCAAGUAGACAUCGUUUACGGCGUGGACUACCAGGGUAUCUAAUCCUGUUUGCUCCCCACGCUUUCGCACCUGAGCGUCAGUCUUUGUCCAGGGGGCCGCCUUCGCCACCGGUAUUCCUCCAGAUCUCUACGCAUUUCACCGCUACACCUGGAAUUCUNNNNNNNNNNNNNNNNNNNNCCUGGAAUUCUACCCCCCUCUACAAGACUCAAGCCUGCCAGUUUCGAAUGCAGUUCCCAGGUUGAGCCCGGGGAUUUCACAUCCGACUUGACAGACCGCCUGCGUGCGCUUUACGCCCAGUAAUUCCGAUUAACGCUUGCACCCUCCGUAUUACCGCGGCUGCUGGCACGGAGUUAGCCGGUGCUUCUUCUGCGGGUAACGUCAAUUGCUGCGGUUAUUAACCACAACACCUUCCUCCCCGCUGAAAGUACUUUACAACCCGAAGGCCUUCUUCAUACACGCGGCAUGGCUGCAUCAGGCUUGCGCCCAUUGUGCAAUAUUCCCCACUGCUGCCUCCCGUAGGAGUCUGGACCGUGUCUCAGUUCCAGUGUGGCUGGUCAUCCUCUCAGACCAGCUAGGGAUCGUCGCCUUGGUGAGCCGUUACCUCACCAACAAGCUAAUCCCAUCUGGGCACAUCUGAUGGCAAGAGGCCCGAAGGUCCCCCUCUUUGGUCUUGCGACGUUAUGCGGUAUUAGCCACCGUUUCCAGUAGUUAUCCCCCUCCAUCAGGCAGUUUCCCAGACAUUACUCACCCGUCCGCCACUCGUCAGCAAAGCAGCAAGCUGCUUCCUGUUACCGUUCGACUUGCAUGUGUUAGGCCUGCCGCCAGCGUUCAAUCUGAGCCAUGAUCAAACUCUUCAAUUUAAAAGUUUGAUGCUCAAUGAAUUAAACUUCGUAAUGAAUUACGUGUUCACUCUUGAGACUUGGUAUUCAUUUUUCGUCNNNNNNNNNNNNNNNNNNNNGA